rnacentral:rRNA from 1 species
UACGUAGGGGGCAAGCGUUGUCCGGAAUUAUUGGGCGUAAAGAGCUCGUAGGCGGCUUGUCACGUCGGGUGUGAAAGCCCGGGGCUUAACCCCGGGUCUGCAGUCGAUACGGGCAGGCUAGAGUUCGGUAGGGGAGACUGGAAUUCCUGGUGUAGCGGUGAAAUGCGCAGAUAUCAGGAGGAACACCGGUGGCGAAGGCGGGUCUCUGGGCCGAUACUGACGCUGAGGAGCGAAAGCGUGGGGAGCGAACAGG